CCUGGAGCAGCACCUGCAGGCCUCGCAGGCGUACCAAGAGGCCAUGGAGGGGCACCUGGGCUGGCUGGAGAAGGCCGAGCUGAGGAUGGCAGAAGAGUUCCUGGUGAGGGGAGACGUGGAGUCCGUGAAGCAGCAGCUCCUGGAGCUGAAGGAGUUCAAGCGAGAACUGUACCAGCGCAAGGUGGACGUAGAAAGCUUGCGGCAUCAGGUGGCCCCCAAGGGGGGAAGCCAGAAGGA